rnacentral:rRNA from 1 species
ACAGGGUGACAGGUGGUGCAUGGUUGUCGUCAGCUCGUGUCGUGAGAUGUUGGGUUAAGUCCCGCAACGAGCGCAACCCUCGACCUUAGUUGCCAGCAUUCAGUUGGGCACUCUAAGGUGACUGCCGGCUAAAAGUCGGAGGAAGUGGGGAUGACGUCAAAUCAUCAUGCCCCUUAUGACCUGGGCUACACACGUGCUACAAUGGGCGGUACAAAGGGCAGCAAAGGGGCAACCCGGAGCAAAUCCCAAAAAACAGGUCUCAGUUCGGAUUGCAGGCUGCAACUCGCCUGCAUGAAGUCGGAAUCGCUAGUAAUCGCAGGUCAGCAUACUGCGGUGAAUACGUUCCCGGGCCUU